GACGAACGCUGGCGGCGUUCCUAAUACAUGCAAGUAGCACGCAGUUGCGAACGGGUGAGUAACGCGUAGGUAACUGCCUCAUCGCGGGGGAUAACUAUUGGAAACGCUAGCUAAUCCCGCAUACUUUGAGAUGGCCCUGCGUUGUAUUAGCGAGUUGGUGAGGUAAAGGCUACCCAAGGCGACGAUACAUGUCCGACCUGAGAGGGGAAUAGGCCACAUGGGGACUGAGACACGGCCCAGACUCCUCCGGGAGGAAGCAGUAGGGAAUCUUCGGCAAUGGACGGAAGUCUGACCGAGCAACGCCGCGUGAGUGAAGAAGGUUUUCGGAUCGUAAAGCUCUGUUGUUAGAGAAGCGGUAUCUAACCAGAAAGCCACGGCUAACUACGUGCUAGCCGCCGCGGUAAUAC
rnacentral:rRNA from 1 species